ensembl:lncRNA
UAUCUCCAGACAGGCAGACAGACCAGUGUGACGUCUUGUUUCCUCAGUAGCUAGGUAUCUCCUACAGGGGGCCAGUCGCUAGGUAUCUCCUACAGGGGGCCAGUAGCUAGGUAUCUCCUACAGGGGGCCAGUAGCUAGGUAUCUCCUACAGGGGGCCAGUAGCCAGGUAUCUCCUACAGGGGGCCAGUAGCUAGGUAUCUCCUACAUAGUGCCAGUAGCUAGGUAUCUCCUACAGGGGGCCAGUAGCUAGGUAUCUCCUACAGAGUGCCAGUAGCUAGGUAUCUCCUACAGGGGGCCAGUAGCCAGGUAUCUCCUACAUAGUGCCAGUAGCUAGGUAUCUCCUACAGGGGGCCAGUAGCUAGGUAUCUCCUACAGGGGGCCAGUAGCUAGGUAUCUCCUACAGGGGGCCAGUAGCUAGGUAUCUCCUACAGAGUGCCAGUAGCCAGGUAUCUCCUACAUAGUGCCAGUAGCUAGGUAUCUCCUACAGGGGGCCAGUAGCUAGGUAUCUCCUACAGGGGGCCAGUAGCUAGGUAUCUCCUACAGGGGGCCAGUAGCUAGGUAUC